AACCUUUACACUGCACGACAGUGCGAUAAGGGAAUCCCAAGUGCGUAGGCAUAGAGCCUACGCUUUUGUCCACCGUAGGGAGGUGGACGAAUAAGGGCUGGGCAAGACCGGUGCCAGCCGCCGCGGUAAUACCGGCAGCUCGAGUGAUGGCCGAUCUUAUUGGGCCUAAAGCGUCCGUAGCUGGCCGCACAAGUCCAUCGGAAAAUCCACCCGCUCAACGGGUGGGCGUCCGGUGGAAACUGUGUGGCUUGGGACCGGAAGGCGCGACGGGUACGUCCGGGGUAGGAGUGAAAUCCCGUAAUCCUGGACGGACCGCCGAUGGCGAAAGCACGUCGCGAGAACGGAUCCGACAGUGAGGGACGAAAGCUAGGGUCUCGAACCGGAUUAGAUACCCGGGUAGUCCUAGCUGUAAACGAUGCCUGUUAGGUGUGGCUCCCACUACGAGUGGGUGCUGUGCCGUAGGGAAGCCGCUAAGCAGGCCGCCUGGGAAGUACGUCCGCAAGGAUGAAACUUAA
rnacentral:rRNA from 1 species